rnacentral:rRNA from 1 species
UACGUAGGUGGCGAGCGUUGUCCGGAUUUACUGGGCGUAAAGGGAGCGUAGGCGGACUUUUAAGUGAGAUGUGAAAUACCCGGGCUCAACUUGGGUGCUGCAUUUCAAACUGGAAGUCUAGAGUGCAGGAGAGGAGAAUGGAAUUCCUAGUGUAGCGGUGAAAUGCGUAGAGAUUAGGAAGAACACCAGUGGCGAAGGCGGCGCACUGGACCAUAACUGACGCUGAGGCGCGAAAGCUAGGGGAGCAAACAGG